rnacentral:rRNA from 1 species
UAGGGAAUCUUCGGCAAUGGGGGCAACCCUGACCGAGCAACGCCGCGUGAGUGAAGAAGGUUUUCGGAUCGUAAAGCUCUGUUGUAAGAGAAGAACGUGUGUGAGAGUGGAAAGUUCACACAGUGACGGUAACUUACCAGAAAGGGACGGCUAACUACGUGCCAGCAGCCGCGGUAAUACGUAGGUCCCGAGCGUUUUCCGGAUUUAUUGGGCGUAAAGCGAGCGCAGGCGGUUUAAUAAGUCUGAAGUUAAAGGCAGUGGCUUAACCAUUGUUCGCUUUGGAAACUGUUAAACUUGAGUGCAGAAGGGGAGAGUGGAAUUCCAUGUGUAGCGGUGAAAUGCGUAGAUAUAUGGAGGAACACCGGUGGCGAAAGCGGCUCUCUGGUCUGUAACUGACGCUGAGGCUCGAAAGCGUAGGGAGCAAACAGG